AGAGUGAACGCUGGCGGCAGGCCUAACACAUGCAAGUCGAGCGGCAGCGCGGGUAGCAAUACCUGGCGGCGAGCGGCGGACGGGUGAGGAAUACAUCGGAAUCUGCCUUGUUGUGGGGGAUAACGUAGGGAAACUUACGCUAAUACCGCAUAAGACCGUAAGGUGAAAGCGGGGGAUCGAAAGACCUCGCGCGACAAGAUGAGCCGAUGUCGGAUUAGCUAGUUGGUGAGGUAAUGGCUCACCAAGGCGACGAUCCGUAGCUGGUCUGAGAGGAUGAUCAGCCACACUGGAACUGAGACACGGCCCAGACUCCUACGGGAGGCAGCAGUGGGGAAUAUUGGACAAUGGGGGCAACCCUGAUCCAGCAAUGCCGCGUGAGUGAUGAAGGCCUUCGGGUUGUAAAGCUCUUUCGGCGGGGAAGAUGAUGACGGUACCCGCAGAAGAAGCCCCGGCUAACUUCGUGCCAGCAGCCGC
rnacentral:rRNA from 1 species